GACGAACGCUGGCGGCGUGCUUAACACAUGCAAGUCGAGCGGAGCGGCGAACGGGUGAGUAACGCGUGAGUAACUGCACCCCUCUCUGGGAUAACAGUUGGAAACGGCUGAUAAUACCGGAUAGUGGGGGAUGAAUCGCGGCCUAUCAGCUUGUUGGUGGGGUAGUGGCCUACCAAGGCGACGACGGGUAGCCGGCCUGAGAGGGCGACCGGACUAAAUGGACUAAGAUACGGACCAAACGCCUACGGGAGGCAGCAGUGGGGAAUAUUGCACAAUGGGGGAAGCCCUGAGGCAGCAACGCCGCGUGCGGGAUGACGGCCUUCGGGUUGUAAGCCGCUUUCAGCCAUGACGCGUUGGUGGCAGAAGAAGCACCGGCUAGCUACGUGCCAGCGGCCGCGGUAAGUC
rnacentral:rRNA from 1 species